CCUUAAGAACGGUUCUGUAUAUGUGAGU
rnacentral:piRNA from 1 species